rnacentral:lncRNA from 1 species
GUUUGUGGGAGAAGGUGAGCACGACCUCUUACUCCUCUGCCAUCUUGCUCCUCCUCCCCUGCUUUUUUUUUUUUAAAGUGUAGAUUCCCUUCCUUUACUUUGGGAUAGUCCUCAUUAAUUAAUGUUAUCCCUAUUUCAUUAGCCUGAAUAAAAAUCAUUUCCUUAAUUGAUGCAUUUUAUCUUUCACAGAGGAUUACAUAAUAUAUGAAAAUACUGAAAUACUGAAUUACUGAAAUUAAGUUAAAUACUGAAGCUUCUCUGAUACACAGUAAGGUAUCAAUAAAGGUUACAAUAUUAAUAUGGAAAAGGUAAACCUCACUAAUAUACCAUUAGGUAUCUAUUAGAAUGACUAAAUCAAAAAACAUAACAAGUCCAAAUGUUGGCAGGAAUGUGGAGUAAUUAGAAGUCUCAUACAUUACUAGAGUUCCCAUCAUGGCUCAAUGUCUAAUGAAUCUGACUAGGAAUCAUGAGGUUGUGGGUACGACCCCUGGCCUUGCUCAGUGGGUUAAGGAUCCGGCAUUGACCUGAGCUGUGGUGUAGGUUGCAGAUGCAGCUCAGAACCCGUGUUUCCGUGGCUGUAGAAUAGGCCGGUGGCUAUGGCUCCAAAUAGACCCCUGGCCUGGGAACCUCCAUAUGCCAUGGGUGUGGCCCUAGAAAAGGCAAAAAGACAAAAAACAAUAAAAUAAAUAAAAUAAAAGGGGUUAUGGAAAUGGGAAAGAAAACUCUAAGGGUGCAUACUACAUGAUUUCCUUUAUAUGACAUUAUCACAAAUGCAAAACAGUAGGGAGAGAAAACAGAUUAGUAGCUGCUGGAAGCUAGGAUGAUAGUUGAAUAUAAAUGCAAAUGAGGGAAUUUUUUUAAGGUGAUAGGACUUUCCUAGAUCUUCAUUUUGGUGUUAGUUACGAGACUAUUCAUUUUUGAAAAUUCAUAGAACUGUAUACUUUCAAGGGGGAAUUCUUUUAUAUUUAAGUUAUAUCUCAAUAAACCUCACCCCUAAAAAGAGAUAGUACUUCUUGCAUGCAAGAUGUUGUAAAACCUCUUCAUUGCAAAGCAACAAGUUCCCCCUCAAAGACUACCCCUGAUCUCUUCUACUGGCUGCCAGGCUAAUAAUUAAGGUUAAAUCAUACUAGGAUUGAUAAGGUUGCAUGUGUAACUGGGUCACCAGGCUGUACAGUAGAAAAAAUACAUAUAUCUAUGUAAAUAAAUGAUAAAAAAAGAUGGUAAAAAAAAGGUUGGAAAGAGAUGUACACCCCCAAGAAGCAGAAAGGAUUCUGUAACAUACACUGGCAAGAACCAGAGGAAUAAGAGCUAAUGAUGUUGAAUAUCUUUUUAGACCUUUUUUUUUUAUAUAUCUGUAUAUCCUCAUCAGUGAAAUGUUUGUUCCUAUGUUUUGGCCAUUUUCUAAUUGGUUUUUUUUAUAACUACUGAGCUUUUGAGAGUUCUUUACGUGUGUUAGUGCGUGCGUGUGUGUGUGUGUGUGUGUGUGUGUGUAUUUAGAUCUGUAUGCUUUCCUGGUAUGUUGAUCCACUUAUUACUGUUAUGUCCUUAUUUGUUUAAUUUUCUUUUUCUGAAGUCUACUUUAAAAUUAAUAUACCUACUUCUGUUAUUUUUGAUUAAUGUUUUCUGGGCAUAUCUUUUUCCAACAUUUUUUUUACUUUAAAUCUACCUAUGUUGUUGUGUAUUAAGUGAAUUUCUUGUAAACAGUAUAUUGCUGUACCAUUUUACUUUAAUCCUGCUGCCAAACUGUCUUUUAAAUGAUGAAUUCAGGUCAUUUACUUUUAAGAAAAUUAUUGAUAUGUUAAGACUUAAGCCUUGUCAUUUUACUAUCUAUUUUCUGUUUGUUUGCUUGGGUUCUUAUUCCUCUAUUCCCUUCCUGUGAGUUAUUUGGACACAUAGGGGGAUUCCAUCUUGAUUUAUUUGUACUGUUAUAUUUUAUUCUUUAUUAAUGGUGUUUUUAAAAAAUUAUUUUUAAUUCAUUUUUUAUUAUAGUUGAUUUACAGUGCUGUGCCAAUUUCUGCUAUACAGAAAAGUGACUCAGUUAUACAUUUAUAUACAUUCUUUUUCUUUUCAUACUAUCUUUCAUCAUGGUCUAUCUCAAGAUACUGGAUAUUGUUCCCUGUGCUAUACAGUAGGACCACUUUGAUUAUCCAUUCUAAAUGUAAUAGUUUGCACCUACCCACCCCAAAUUCCCUGCCCAUCCCACUUCCUCCCCCUCAUGCUUGGCAACCACAAGUCUGUUCUCUAUGUUUGUGAGUCUGUUUCUGUUUUGUAGAUAAGUUUAUUUGUAUCAUAUUUUAGAUUGCACACAUAAGUGAUGUCAUAUGGUAUUUGCUUUCUCUUUUUGACUUACUUCAGUUAGUAUGAGAAAUAAACUAUUUAAAAAAACACAGAAUGGGAGAAAAUCUUUGCAAAUGAUGCAACUGACAAGGGCCUAAGCUCUAAAACAAGUCAUAAAACUCAACCACAACAAAAAGACAAACAAUACAAUAAAAAAAAUGGGCAGAAGACCUAAACAGACAUUAGUCUAAAGAAGAUACAAAUAGGCACAUAAAAAGAUGCUCGACAUCACUAAUUAUUAGAGAAAUGCAAAUCAAAACUUGAUUGAGGUACUACUUCACAUUGGUCAGAAUUGGCCAUCAUCAAAAUGUCUACAAAUAACUAAUUCUAGAGAGGGUGUGGAGAAAAGGGAAGCCUUCUUCACUGUUGGUGGGAAUGGAAAUUUGUACAACGACUGUGGAAAACAGUAUGGAAGCUCCUCAGAAAACUUAAAAAAAUAGAGAACUACCAUAUGAUCCAGCAAUUCCACUCAUGGGCAUAUUUCUGGACAAAACUAGAAUUUGAAAAAAAUACAUAGACCCCUAUGUUCUUUGCAGCACUAUUCACAAUAGCCAAGACAUGGAAAAAACCUAAAUGUCCAUCAACAGAUGAAUGGAUUAAGAACAUGUGAUACAUAUAUACCAUGGAAUAAUAUUUUGCCAUAAAAUGAAUGAAAUAAUGGCAUUUGCAGCAACAUGGAUGCAACUAUUCUGUUUUAAAAUAUAUUACUUUGUAUAAUAUCUUUGGUGGUUGCUCUACGUAUUACAAGACACAUAUGUAACUUAUUACAAACCACUCUUUUUUUUUUUUUUUUUUUUUUUUUUUUGUUGUUGUUGUUGUCUUUUGGCUAUUUCUUCGGGCCGCUUCUGUGGCAUAUGGAGGUUCCCAGGCUAGGGGUCGAAUCGGAGCUGUAGCCACUGGCCUACGCCAGAGCCACAGCAACACAGGAUCCGAGCCGCGUCUGCAACCUACACCACAGCUCACGGCAACGCCGGAUCGUUAACCCACUGAGCAAGGGCAGGGACCGAACCCGCAACCUCAUGGUUCCUAGUCGGAUUCGUUAACCACUGUGCCAUGCCGGGAACUCCUUUUUUUUUUUUUUGACAAACCACUCUUAUCAACAUUUUACCACUUGAAGUAAAGAUAAAAACCUAGCUUCCACUUACAUCCUUUUAGACCCACCACUUUUCAAAUAUAUUUGUCUUGAAUAUUUCCCAUGUAUUUGAGCAUCACACUAAAUGGUGUCAUAUCUUUUGCUUCAAUCUUCAAA